GCCUUCGUGGUGCAGCGGUUAGCACGCUUGACGCGUAACCGAGAGAUCCGUGGUUCGAUUCCCGACAAAGGCU
rnacentral:tRNA from 1 species